AGAGCUUUUGUGAGGGAGAACUUUCUAUGAGAGAGAAAUUGGGUGUACGAGGGUUGAGGGUAAGAUCUCCUCUAGUAAUAUUUUUUUUCUCAUAGUGAAGUUUGCAUGCUCCGUGGAGGCGAGCCCUUUUUUGGUUGAUCCACGAAUUUUGAUUAUUUUUUGUUUUAUUUCUUCUUUCUUCCUGCUGCAUCACGUGGUAUCGAAAAAAUCUUGGGAGGUGGUAUCCUGGCC
rnacentral:lncRNA from 1 species